rnacentral:lncRNA from 1 species
UUCUUGUGAGGAUCUCCUACAGAACAAAGGAAUUGGAAUGAAGAUAGCUCAACAUUUUGUUUCUAUAAAACUGAUCAAGUGCUUCGUUUGCAAAGUGCAAUGGAAAAUGGAACUGCACAUAAUCAGAUUGUUGGAGGAGUUCCAUUUGUUGGUAUGGGUGGUAUAGGAAAUUUAACUACCUUUUAUUAUUUGAAAGGUACGGAUCAUAUGUAUUUAAAUAUUUUCAACAUGCAAACUAUAUAAUUUUUAAUUUUUAAAACUUAGAACUAUUUGUUUUCUUUGGCAUCAUAGUUAAAGGUGCAAGAGUUGCCGUCUGUCAUCACAUCAGAAGAAUAUCACGAAAGUUCCGUAGAAUUAAGGAACUAGAUGUGCAGCAGUCAAGCACCAACAUACUUAGGAGGCAUAGCACUAGAAAAUGGCUACAACAAUAUUUUGCUAGUAUCUCCACCGGAGGUUGGACACAUGUAGGCAUAUGAACCAACGCCUGAUACAUUUAUCUUUCAGAUGAUCGAAUUCUAUUGAAGAUUUGGAAGGAUAGUCUUUCCCAUCAAUAAAGGGAGUUUUAGUAUUUGGCAUCUAACUACGAAGCAUAUCGAGUUCUAAAGGUUAGUGCAAGCAUACCUGCUAUUCCAGGAUCAUGACAGAACUGCUGUGGAAUCAGCAAUAGGAUUCCCAAAGCAUGACAUUUUCUAGCUACUAAAUUUGAAAAUAAUGCGACUUUUAUACACUUUUUUCUAUAGAAAAUGCAUAGAUUUUUUUAUUUUUUUUUUUGUGCCAAAAUCUUGUAGCAAGUUUGAGUUGGGGAGUACCUCAAUCGCCAAGAGAGAAGUUAUGUAUGACUCUGUGUAAACUCCAAAUUUUUUGGUAUAUAUGUUUCUGUGACUCAA